CAGUGUUACAGCUCUUUUCGAAUUUGUCAAGCAGGCUUUCCGGUUUGUACUGGAAAGGCCCAC
rnacentral:snRNA from 13 species